rnacentral:rRNA from 1 species
AACGAACGCUGGCGGCAGGCCUAACACAUGCAAGUCGAACGAGAAGCCACCUUCGGGUGGUGGACAGUGGCAGACGGGUGAGUAACGCGUGGGAACGUGCCUUUCGGUUCGGGAUAACCCAGGGAAACUUGGGCUAAUACCGGAUACGCCCUCCGGGGGAAAGAUUCAUCGCCGAAAGAUCGGCCCGCGUCGGAUUAGCUAGUUGGUAGGGUAAUGGCCUACCAAGGCGACGAUCCGUAGCUGGUCUGAGAGGAUGACCAGCCACACUGGGACUGAGACACGGCCCAGACUCCUACGGGAGGCAG